rnacentral:rRNA from 1 species
CAUAGCGGAGGAAAGAAACUAACAAGGAUUCCCUAGUAACGGCGAGUGAAGCGGGAAGAGCUCAAAUUUGAAAGCUGGCAGCAAUGUCCGCGUUGUAAUCUCGAGACGUGUUUUCCGUGCUGGACCGUGGACAAGUUUCCUGGAAUGGAAUGUCAUAGAGGGUGAAAACCCCGUACUUGCCGCGGACGCCCAGUGCUUUGUGAUGCGCGUUCGAAGAGUCGAGUUGUUUGGGAAUGCAGCUCAAAAUGGGUGGUAAAUUCCAUCUAAAGCUAAAUAUUGGGGAGAGACCGAUAGCAAACAAGUACCGUGAGGGAAAGAUGAAAAGCACUUUGGAAAGAGAGUUAAACAGUACGUGAAAUUGUCAAAAGGGAAGCAUUGGAAGUCAGACGUGCAUGCAGUACUCAGCCUGGCUUUGGCUUGGUGUAUUUGCUGUUUUGCAGGCCAACAUCGAUUUUUGGCAACGGAUAAGGGUAGAGAGAAUGUGGCCUCCCCGGAGGUGUUAUAGCUCUUUACUGGAUACGUUGCCGGGGAUCGAGGAACGCAGCGUCCCCGCAAGGGCAGGUCUUCGGACACUUUGACGCUUAGGAUGUUGGCGUAAUGGCUUUCAAUGACCCGUCUUGAA